rnacentral:lncRNA from 1 species
ACAUCUUCUAGCAGGCGGUCUUGGUCUCGGUUGGUGCUUCCGAUCCGUCGAGUGAUCGACGGAAGCGCGGUCGGCGAUUGUGGAGAACUCGGUGAAUUCCUGACUUCCUCUUCUAGUCCUCCCGCACGAUUGCUGGUUGCUCACUUCUCGUCGAUAUAUUUUCCUCUUCGUUUCUCGUCUCGUUUACUGCGUUCUCGUCCGUUUCUCGCGAUCUUGCUCCCCUCCUUCGGCACUUGCACUUUUUGAAUUCACCUCGUUAUCGGAUACAGAGUGCUUCGAUCUUUCGGUGCACACUCGCGUAUACACGAUUGUUCAUUCAAGACGUCGAGAGUCUUGCGGUUUUGCGGUACAGCGAUAUGCACGGCGCGCACACACACGCGACGAUAACGCGAGGAAACGCGAGGGACACCACCGGACGUGGAGCGCGCGCUCUUCUGUUACGCGCGAACCGUGCGUACUGAACCGUUCGGCGGUAGGGUCUGAACGUAGCUGCGUAGCUGGCUGCCAGAGGAGCGCGACGUUGCCCGCGACGGCGUCGACGAUCGCGACAUUCACGAUCCCGUCAAGUCACCGCGAGGGUCAUGGAUGCACGUUCGGAGCGCGGCCGCCACCUCUCUUCCGCACCUCCGUCGCUUCGCUCGCUCGCUCUCGGUUCGGCGCCUCUCGCGUCUGCCGUGCGCGCGCGCGCGCGCACGCGAUCGCACCUCGCGCCUCGAAUCGCGAUAAGGAGAAUCGAGCGAGCGCGGCUCGCUUCACGGCGUUGCUGCGCGGCGUGUACGUCCGCCCGUCCGUCCGUCCGUCGUUCGACCGCGCGAGCGCGGGUGAUGCUGCCUCCUGGCUCGGCCGGCGGCAGCGAUUCCGCUGGGACUCGUGCUCGACAGCCGCGUAGAACGAUCGCGCGUAGGAAACUGGUGGCUACGAGCCUCGGCGCCGCGAGACCAGCCGAGAGAGUCCGAGAGCCGUCACGGCUGAGGACGCAAAAAAGUUUGUUGCCACCGCGCGCGCUCUCCGGACAGGUUACUCUACUCGAAGGGGGACCGGAACCGACGGCGAGAAGGUUGGCUGGCCGUGCGCUCGGCUGACAGUGCCGCUAGGUUGGCUCCUUCCUUUCAAGCGUCGCGCCACUACGAGGAGCCGGUGUUCCUUCCCUACCCUCAGCUGGUCUUCUUUUUCACCCGUCUCUUUUCUUUUUUUUUCGUCGUUUUUCCCGUCCCUCACUCGUUUGCUCUCGGUGCCUGCUUCUCGAGCGUUGUCACCUCCACUCCGAGAGGGAUUUCGCGUUUGCGUGUUCAGAAGAAAAAGGUGUGGUUGCGACCCGGCGGCGCGGAAACGGCGUGCGAUGCGCGCUACUCGGAGUUCGGUGAAGGAAUGGCCGCUCCGCGAUGGUCCCCGGCCCCCAGGCGUGGGAGGAAGCGGGGCGCGGUGGAUGGUGGGGGAAAAAAGCAGAGUCUAUAUCGCGCGGCGGAUGGUGCACUGGGCUGCGCGCGUGUGCGUGCUUUACGUGCGUGCGUGUGCGAGGAGGAGACGGUGGAGGAGCAGCGGGAAACAAUGAGGGAGACGAGCGGCCAGCGAACGGAUGAAGAAGCGAGAGAAGGAAAGAGGAGACGGGAAGCGAUGGUAAAAGAGUAAAGCACACGAAAACGAGAGAAGGAGCGGAUCCGAGAGAGGAGAAUGACGGAGAAAGAGAGAACGAGCGAGUAAGUGCGUGGGGGACGGGCGAGGGAAAAGGACAGGGUCGUACUACGAAGCGGGAGGCGUAUCUCAGGACCGUAAAUCGAUCACGGGGUGCCCGAGAUUCACCGCGCGAUACGCGCUUCUCGUAAAUAGUAAUUAUAAACCUAUAUUGCGAGCAUAAAGUUAAAUAUAAAAUAUAACGAACUCUGUAUUUUUGCAAGAAUCGGAAGCAUAAUUAUAGUUUGCGUUUUGAAUGUUUCUGAAAUAUUCCAAGUGACCAAAAUGACACACACGCGCGCGCGCACUGAUUGAUUACGAAUUGCCUUAGGCUGAGCAUUAUUAUUAAUAAAAUGACAGAAAAAUGCAGGAUAAUUAAUUAAGCUUUUACUCUGAAUUUGCAUGCAACGCAAACAUAUUGACGCAUGUAUCAAGAUCAUAAAAUGAAAAUACAACGCAAAUAGCGUGGUUUAUUAUAGCGUGUUUGUCCCGUUGAACCCAUUAUCUUUAUCAUAAUACUAGACUUUUAAUCGUACAUUGAUGAAUUCUUUAGAUUUGAUAAGCCGAGACACUUUAUCUUUCGUCAAUGCUAAUAUGAAAAAUACGAAAUGUACGCAAGUUUUAUCACUGUUUUAUCAGUUUCCGUCGUGACUUGCUCGCGGGUAUCACAUGGAAUCGUUACGUCACUGUCCUCGAGUGGUGGUCGGCGUUUGUGGUUGCUAUGGGGUUAAGGUGGGGUGCGUUGCAGGGGCCGAGGGGAGAAGCGCGACCGGCCGAGAGAUAAAAAAGAUAGAAAACCCUGUGUGUUACGCAUGUGCGUAUCGGGGCACGAGCGAGAACGUCGCGCGCGCGCGUGUGUGAGUAUGUGUAUGCGAAGAAUGGCUAAAAAUUGUGCAUGUAUACACGUACACGCGUUCCGCGUACACACGGCGGAUCAGCAUUGAAACCCGAUGACUCAAAAACACGCGUGAGCGCGCGCGUGUCGCGUCGUAAUAUUAGUAAUGCGUAUACGUCAAUCUACCUACCCACCGUAUGCAUGUCUGACGCACGCUACCGUAUAGACCCCUCGGCGGUCUCCUCCCCCCUUCGGAUACCGAUUUCGAUUCUCCACGCGAAUUUAAAUGGUCGCCAAUUAGGCUUCCUCCCGGUUAUCGAUGCCCGAUUGUGCGCGAGCGCGCGCCGCGGCUCGCCAGCUGUUAAAACGACGGCUUUCGUUCGAUGUAAUAACAACCUCGAUGCUAAAGCAUCGCGAGAGUGGUAUAGAAUCGUUGAUUUCGGAUCAAUAGUAGAUUAACUGGAUGCACUUUUGUAAUAUAGUACAAAAAUCUCUUGUCGUUUACGUGAGGUUUUAUCGUGCACCGAUAAAUUUACCCCGAUUCGAACGAAAUUGAAGGAAAUGUAAUGAAUUAUGAACAAUAUUUAACGAGUUAUUUUCAAAAAAAUAUUGGCCGGAUUAUCGUUUUCAUGUUUAGAUAUAAUUGUAAUUAUAAUUUCAGAGCGCAAUAUUGCACUGAAUAACCGUAGAAAAAUAGGAAAUUGGUGUUUUUGAUUCAAUAUCGGUCCUCUUGAAAAUGAUAUCCAGUUCAGAAAAAUAUUUUCAUUGUAAUGUAAAUUGUACCUCUAAAAAUGUUAUAACAGGAAUUAUCGAUUUAAGAAUAAAUUUGAAAAAUUGCCUUAUAUUAUAUGUGGAGUAUAUCCUUUUCUCAUAUUUUUGCGUGUCCAAAAUAAUCCGAGCUCUUUUAAAAUGAAAAUUUUAUUCUGUUAUUAUGAAAUAUUAAAUUAAAUUAGCCUUGAUUUUGUUGUGCACAGGAAGUGGAGUCGACACAAAAAACCGUACAAGCCUAAAUAAAGAUCUUAAUCGCAAUGUGUUGGUGCGUUUUAAUGGCCCGGGAAUAAAAUCAGACAAACGUACGAGCGACAAUAUUGUAUGAGCAAUAAAGCCUACGUCUCUUCGACACCUGUUAAUAUCAGAAUCACAGAUUAACUGGCACUAAUAUUUAAUGGGUUAGAACGACCCCGGAAAUUGAACGUUGCGUGUGCUGGAAUUAAAUUCAACGUUGGACGCGAUCGAACCUGUCUCUUCCUCGAAUGCCGAAUUCGCCCACGUAGCUGGAAUCAUUAUUACAUUAUAGAUUGCAAUACUGCAAUUAACGGAAGCGCGAUUUCGAUGCGAAUUGCGAAUUGGCAAUUAAAAGCUCACGCGUGGCCAACAGGCGGUAUUUUAAAACAGCUUCGCCGAAAAUCAGAACGAUUUUGCAUGCAGAUUGAAUAUAAUCGAAAACUAAUACCAUAAUGACUCCAAAUGCAUCGAAAAUCGUUCGUGGGUAUCAUUUACAUUCACCGCUAAUAAUUAUUAUUAGAUGAUUAUACUAUAUUGCGGUCUAUUUAUUUCGAUAUACAUAUACUGGCCAUACAAUCUUGCGGUAUUAUAACACAUAGAGUCGUAUGGAGCAUUAAUUAGCGGCAAUUUCACGUUCCGCGAUUAAUAGGUUUCGGAGGUAACUAAUUAACAGUACAGAAUACUGGCUCAUGCAAGUUACAUGGACAUCGGUGCAAAAAGUGAAACUGCAAAUACGGAUAAAACAGAAAUGUUCUGGCACCUCGUCACGGACGACGAAGACAACGACAACGACAACGACGGCGACGGCGACGACGACGACGACGAUUACGACUACGCAAAGCAACCUGAUAAUACCUUCAAGGCUGUCUGCUCGCGAAUGUGCCCGUUUAUGCGCGCGUUUCUGCAUACGUAUGUGACACCGUGUACGCGAAAGUUGUUGCGAUGCGCAUCGUGUUUCGAGAAACACGUCCAAUUCGCAAAUCGCGAGGGUUUAGCGGUACCAAUAAUAUUGAGAGAGAGGGAAUGAGAGAAAGAGAGGGGGAGAAAGAGAAAGAGAGUAUUUCCAAAAUAUAUCUCUAAGAACCAUGCGGAGAUUUAAAAACUCAUACUUGGGAUGCAAAAUAUGAAGGAUGACAAUGCAUUGAUUCUCUCUGAUUAUGGCUAAAACACGUAUUUGUUGCUGCGUAAUUCGUGCUGACGAAACGAUAAGGGAUAUAUUACUGGCCCGUGAUAGUGUUUGGCCGCGGUGUUACGCCGAGCAGCGUGUAUGUGAUAUCUGCAAGUUCUUAUCUAAAGUAAGGUACGAGUGUAAUCACAAUGAAUAUCUCAUAAAUACCAACGCCAUCGCGUUUUCCGCGCAACGUAACAAAACGUGCGCGUCAUACGUGCCUCUCAUUUCCGUGAUAGAUACUAUAGUGAAAUUUCCUUUCUUGCCUGAUUAAUCGAAGACGCGCGUGCAAACAUCUACAAGAAUAAUCGAAUCUUCGCGAAUAAUUCCAACCAACAAGAACGGCCAAGAACUAAAAGCCAUUUCGUCUUUGUGUUUCCUUGUUAGAUGAAAUAAUCGCGAAAAACAGUGCGAAAAAUUCAAAAAAUAUCGAUAGAAAUCGAAAGAAUUUCUUUAUUGUCGGGCAAAUAUUAUAACAAAAUUAACAAAAUAAAAUUCAUACGGGAAAUUUGAAAACGCUAGUGCUAACGUGCUAACACGCGGUUUAUCUUCAAUAUGAGCGCGCUGCAUACAUCGGAUAUGAAAUUAUCCAUGUAAUAAGCGGUGAUUCGUCUCGCCGGGGCUCUUCAUAUCGAGGCAGAACGUCGCAUAUGUUCGACAGUCUCGCGGACACAUUCGUGGAGAUAUAUCACUGUAAUCGCGGAGUCGCCGAUGGGGGGAGAGUGACCAGAUAUCCCCAUGCUCCACGCAUCGUGUGAUGAAGACGUGCGUGUAUGCAUAUGAUGCGUACGCGCGUACGUGCGCCAAAUGCGUCGCGCAGCGCGUAAAAGACCACACGGUGAAAUAUGAAUCAUUUCUCUGGGCCAUUAACGCAUCUGCGUAUUCGCAGGGCCGCCCCUAUACACGCCGCUAUAUUCAUUCGUCUGGCGGUGGCCGCCCCCCUUUCGAUUCGUGAUAAUUUCGAGAAACCCGGAGCUGUCGCGUCGGGCCGAGCGAGUAAAAAGGGGUUCGAAAAGAACACCUAUCGCCCGAAGUGAAAAAAGUCUGGUAUUAGGUGUAAGCCGAGAGAUUCGUCUGAAUAUCACGCAACAGCGCUCUGUCCCUUUGCGUGCAAUGGGAAUCUCCAUGCGAGAAGGGCAAAGUUCCUUUCCAACUUACCGGUUAAUUGAAAAUGUAUGCGGUAAUCAUUUACGCCUUGAGAUUUCUUGGAAACUAAAUUGUUUGCGGAGUUAUCAGUUGUUUAACAAUAUUUGUAUCGAAAUAAAUUAGAAUCAAAAUAAUCGACUUUUAUCAUCCGACGUUUCAAGAGAUCAAGAAAAAGAUAUAUAAUAUAACAAGCUCAAGUAUCUUUUUUAUGAUUAUACGUUGCAUGGCGAUUUAGCAUAAUUAUACUUUUCUGCAAUUUAUUAUUGCAUAUUAUACAUCAUGUAUAUUGAUAAUCAGCGAGAGAAAGAGAGAGAAAGAGAGAGAUACAAAACAGUUAUAAGGAAUUUCCAGUUAAUUACAGCGUCCGCGUCUACGACGAGGAAGAUGAUGCGACAUUACAUCUGGUGGUGCAAGAGUGCAGCAAAACCGAUUAAUCAUACCGCUGCAGUUUCACGUACGCGGUGUCUCGAAAUUGUGUACGACCUUCGCGGUGCGUUACCGUGCGCGCGUGUCCGCCGAGCGACGAAUUCGCGACGGGUAAGCGUAACGCAAUAAUGUCGCGUUCGGCAGAAUUCGGAGCCCUAAAUCAAAUAUAUCAUGCAGCCGUGCAGCCGUGGCGAACGACGCACACGCGAGUGCAAUUAUGCGCGUCGGCGUACGCAGCGGCGCGCCGCGCUCCAUAAUUCGUAUCGCGCUCGAUAAUAAACGGCGCAACGUCGACUCACUAUCGCGAGUAAUUAAACGCAGAACCCACACACGCGCGCGCGCGCGCGUGCACACUCGGGAAACCCGUGCACGGGGAUACCCCGAGCGUAUGACAUUCAGGGGCUGCCGCCUUUAGGGCCGGUUCGGCCGGCUCGCUUCCUCCUCGCUCCGCGGCGAGAAAAACCUGCCGCGGCCGCGUAGCGGAAAGUUCCUAUUUAUUUCCAGGCCACCGAGCGUAAUCUCGAGUCGCACUCGCGAGGUAUCGUAACUGACACAGAGACGGCCUCGCGUGUACGCGUACAUACACGUACGUUAUGCAUGCGCACGCGUGACGCGCGCGCGAGAGGUUGUGCCGAUAUGAAGGAUGGUUUAAUCAAUGUCCAAGGUUAAGCGGCACAAUUAUUAGCGCGCGCACAUUGCGACAUGCUCGCUCGCUCGCUCGCUUGUCGCGCAGCCCGAGUCCGUGUCAAUACCAGCAGCAACGGCGCUGGUGUGCGUGUUUUGUGACGCACACCCGUUACAUAAUAACGCGGUGUGCCGGACCGGGCGUGCAAGCGCGAAUCGCAAGUACCCCAACUAUUACUUGCUUACCGAUGCGCCUCCGAGUCUCGGUACGCCAAGUUGCUUGAUAUCGCUCGAACGAGCUGUUCCCUCCCGCCUCCGGUCUCCGGUGGGAGUAAAGGGCGCGUUACCCCUGCACCCGCGACUUUUUCCACUGACAUUUUCAUAAAUGGCAGCUAUCUAUAAACGGUUCUCAUCUCGGUGGUGUGGUAAGAGGAUCGAUAUUAAUUACCGCGAAUGGGCACGUACGAGGUGUCCUACAUUCCCGUACUUUUACCCCGCUUUUUCACGUAGCGAGGCUUUUUGAUGGAUUCAAGCUGAUCGUCGGCCAUAAAAUACCGCUGCUUCUUGAAUAAUAAGUUCCAGAUAGCCAGUAUCGAUAAAUAAUAACAGAGUCAAUUUGAGAGUACGCUUGUACGUCCGAAUGAAAUACGUGUUGCCUGUUCGAAGGUAGGCACGAACGAUCCACUCGCUCCAGCCUUCUGAAACGCCCCGCUAUUCGCUCGAUCGAGAUAACACGUGCGAUUCACUCUCUUCUGGUGCCCGCGCGCUUGUAAAUAAUAUGUCGGAACUUUCUCGGAUUUAUCAUUCUACAGCUAAUCUGACCGUAAAGCGAAAUUGUGACGAAAGCCUCGUUAAUAUCGCUACGCGUGCACCGCUCAUAAAUAUGGAUCGCGAGGGGGGAGGGAAGUCGUGGUGCUUGAGGAUGCUCGACGGGAUCCUUGGUCGAGUUCGUCGUGAAUUAUAUAAUAAAGACGAUGAGCCGCGCGAGUGGAUCACGUUUAAUGCGAUCUCAUCCUGCGCGACGGAGGUUCCCCGUUCCUUUCGAGAAAGGCUCGCCUUCUGGCGAAGGCGAACGAACCCGGCCGAGGAAGCGAUUGGCAAAAUCGCCGCCUCAUUUUCGUGUCGAGCGCGUAGAACGGUUCGAGUUAAGCUAAAUAUCCGUGGGAUAUAAUUUUCCAUCGCGGUAACGUUCCCGAUCUUGCAACGCGCAACCGCUCCUCCGGUUAGACAAGCAGAGGUAAAGAGGGAAAGAGAGAGACAGGGAUAGGGAUAAACGGAGCGAAGGACAGAAAGAGUGGCAGCGGAAAAAAUCGCCGGCACAACGAGCCCCGAACGACCCGAGACCGACGCAACUGCAUAAAUUUGCAUGUGCACCGCUCGCGAGAGAGCCAUGCGUGUAUUAGUAUAGCGGGAUCCUCGUUCCCGAGACGGUUCGUGAAUCUUAACAGUUUGUUCUCCGCCGUGUCCGGGCAGAUGUACACGCGAGAUGUCUUCGAUAUCAAUUAUCGUGCGGCGGUUAAUAGCAUCGUAAAUUUCGUGGCACUUUUGUCAGCGCCAUGUCCAGUUAUCGUAAUUUAACGCGGUCGGGUAAUAAAGAUCUGUUCCCGUUGCGGGAACACCCCGAGAGAGUCAUGAAUGUUAAAAUAUUCAGAAACUUCUGUAAUUAUAAUUCGCUGAAAUAGCACACAGAUAUGUCGAACCGUGACAUUUGUGCAGAUCGACCCAUCGACCUAUCUACCGGUUACGCGCGUUUUUCUGAAAUCUCUUGUUUCAUUGAUCGACGACGAAUCCAUGUGCUAUUUAAAUGCUGUACGAUAUUUGAGAAGCAUCAGUGUUUAUAGACUACUUUCGAUAAAUCUUGCGGAAAGAUCGUUUCGCGCGAACACCGAGAGGAAAUAAAAUCUUUCAUCAAUAAAAUGCCGUUUAAAUCUCUCUGAUUUAGUAAUUUCGCACAUCCUCGAAUUGUUGAAUAAUUUAAUAGCAAUUUAAAAAGCAUAUUCGAGAAGGAUUUUUAAAUUGGUAAACUGUUCCCCGAAAGAAAGUAUGAGGUCCUCCAUAAAGUCCUUUAGCGUGACAACUUUUUCUCUGAUUAUGCACAUUAUCUCUAAACACGGGCAGAAAUGUUAAUGAAUAAAAGUUUCUUUAAGAAAAUGAGUAGGACGGAUACGUCCUACGUAUUAAGUUCACAGUGACUUUAACGAGUUCAUUAAAGGAUGAUAAUUAAAAAACGGACGUUUUUAAGAUACUCUUCACACUUGUCUUGCUGUGCUACGCUUUCUCCGUCGUCGACUGUAAAGAGACACCAAGCAGACAGCAAUACGUGACAAUAUAUACUGCUGCUCUGCGUUUCGUAACAUCGGCUUGGUGGCGACUCGUCCCGAGUUGUUAAUGAAAUCUUUAAACGCAAGAGCAGCAAGUUGAAAAACUUUUUGCAACAAAUGAGUGCAAAGGAAUCGGUAUACAUGUCGAUGCAAAGGACAAACGCGUCUGUAUGAUUUUGCAAUUUUACGCGAAACGGUUACGUAAAGCCGAAGUAGCGUCGUCAGACUUUGGAAUGUGUAUCACCAUUAAGAAUUCACAUGCUGCACAUAAACAUGUGAGAAGCGCAUAGAUAAAGCGCUGAUAUCUCCUCCGCGUGCAAAACUCCACCGUUAUUUAACAUUAUUCACUAACGCUCUAUCUUGCCGUUGUAUGGAAUUAAGCAUAAAAUUAACUAACUAAUGAAGCAAGCAAGGAUAUCCGAAUCACUCGCCUUUGCUCUUUUUCCUUAAACGCGAAUAAGCAAGCUUCCCUAUGAUACGUGCGAUUACAUCGUGCGUCUUUACGCGACAGUCGGACGUCAGUGCAACUCGUCGCUGCGACCUAUAACACUUUUUGCUAAUCAGUUCGCGAGAUUUGCGAAGAAAUCUUGCGCGAGCGCAAGCAAAUUCCAGAGAAGGAAAGAAAGAUAGAGAAAGAACGAGAAAAAGAGACGGAGCCGAGUGCACGAGAGAGGUCCCUGGGGCGAAAACGCCGACCUCUUUAGCUAAAAUAAGCGGAAGUAAGUAACGAGUCGGGGAUCUAAAUUUAGACCAUCACGGCGUGUGCUCAUCCUUCAGCCUGCGCUAUUACGUUCAGCCUUGUCGUUGCAUAUCUCGCCGCGUGCUAUGCACACACACACAUACAUACAUACAUGUACAUACGCACAUACGCGCGCGCACGUAAGAGUUCACGCAUUAAUCUGAUCGUGCCGCGAAGAAGAUGCGUGUGAGUGCGCGCGGAGCUGGACCAGCUGACUGCCAAAACAGCUGUAGCGUGAUGCGCGAUGAUGCAUUAUGGUCGGCUGGGCCUUUCUCGCUUUCAGAUCGUAGCCCGAGGUCUUAGCACGACUGAUUUAGCCGGCUGACAUCCGAAACGGGCCUGACCAUCGCGCGGGUCACGAUUGACCCAUGUCAUUUGAGAAGCAUCGUUUUUAUACUAAACACGAUGCCGUAAAUAUUUUGUCGUGAUACUGCCACGGCGGUCUCGGCGGAGAGAAUCUUGUUACGUCUGUCAUGUGCUCAGCAAGAUCGUGUUCGCGCAAAUCAACAAUAAAUCUAAUUACAAGGUGGGAGAUUACAACGUCACGAUCCAAAGUCCGUCAAAGUCCAAAUCAUUGGUUUUUUAUCGCGGAAGCUUCGGAUCUUGAUGAAGAAGUUUUAGAAUGUUUCGUUAAUUAUUUAUUUUAGAAUCUUUCGUUUAUUAGUCAUAACGCCACAUUUUCGUCACUGUUCCGCUAAUUUGCUUUUAUCAUAUUACUCGAAUAAAUGUUUUUUUAAUGUAGGUGAGAUAUUAAUUUAUGUGCACAUUUUCUUUGCUACCCAAUUAUGUCUCGAUUAACAUCAUUAAUUAAUAUCGACUAAUUAACAUCAUGUAAAUCUCAACAUUAAUCUGAAUCUGAAAUAAAUCUGAAAAACACCCCCAAACCCGUGUGAUAAAUAUAAAGUGGAUAAAGAAGCUAAAGCGCACGGGAUGCAUUGUAUCGCGUUAUUUAUUAUCUUUUUUAUCGUAUAUAAGGCGUAUUUCGAAAAAAAUGGUUUUCCGAUACGCGUUUAACAGGUGCAGACGCCUAUGCACCGAUAUAUUGGGGUUGAUAUCACAUCACGAUGUAUAUUGUUCUUCUUAUUGAACAGGGGGCCGAGCAUGGCAUUUCUGAUAACUGUCCCGCAAGACGACCUCGCAUGGGGUGAGAUGAGAUGAAUCUCAAUCGUUUGUUCAGCAAACAAUCUGUGUUUAUGUGACAUGAAGGAUUCAACCAUCCGUAAAAAGCUGUCAGCCCAAACACGCUAUUGUUAACCAUCACAAUAUUGUCAGAUCCUGCUAAUACUAUCUCAGAAAAUCGAAACAGACGCGGAAAAGUGUCGAAAAGCUGCAAACGAUUGUUCCCGCCGAGUUCUCCGUCUCGACUAACUAAUCUAAUUAUGCUCUAGUCAACUGCACGCAUCACGAUUACGUCAUCCCGGAAUAAUCGCGUUGUGGUAAUAAACGCGCCUCGUUGGCGUGUUAUUCCUAUUAAAUAGGAAAAUUAUCGAGGAAUUUGUUACAAGUUCGUCCACUACCAGACUCUCUUAUCAGAUCCUCUUAUGUAAGACAGAAGAUGAGUUAAAUUCCUCUGCUAUUUUAAGUUUAGCCUGAUUCACAGAGCGCGAUAUUUAAUACGAGAGGUGAAAAACUUUUCGGAAGACAUAACAGCCAACUUUUCUCGAACCAAAAUCUUUCAAGUCAAAGCGAGAACGCUCGACUACGGCGAUGCGUAGAUAGAUUUCCAUGGUGCGCAUUUUCUCGCUGCAUUUUUAGGCAUGUUUUUUCCCACCCCAACGAAGUCAAGGGAGGAAAUUGCUCUGCUCGAUGUUUUCGAGAACGAACGGCUUUCGACGGGUAGUAAUUUUCGUGUUUUGGAUCAACAAGCUAGCGAGCUGUCGUCGCUGUGCAGGCGCGACUGCACAAUCCGCGUUGGCGGCGCAGUAAAUUCCACGCGAGAUGCAAAGCGAGAGGCCGUGCCGGCCGCUAAACCAAACGCGUUUAUUGAGGAAAACAGACGUCGGUCCGGAUAAAAAACUAUUCCGGAUAGAUAAGGCGAAACACGCCCAAAAACUGAUAGCAGUGAGUUAUGAGGUAACGACCACGAGCGACCGCGGAACGUCGCAUGCACUUGUCGUUACACGGGAUGUGGCUUCGGACCGAUCCAUUUAUAUGCGCGUGGCCGGAACGUUAUCUGCGGAUUUUAAUCCGAACGUUCUAGAUGUGCACCGCUGUGGUUUAUGGUCUGCGCGGUUUGAUAACGAUUUAAUAGGAUCCUAGCGCGACGCAGAAUGGUUACGGAGACAUAUCGGCGAUCUUGCGCUCUCGGAGACGGAAAUCAAUACGUUUUUCAUUCAGAUCUCUACUGUAGCAUGCGUAGAUAAUGUUUGUUUCGUCGGCGUGGGAGACCAUAUUUUUCGUCUUUAUGGCAGAUCGAGUUGGUUCAGAGUGUACUGCUUCCAACUUUCAUUUCUGUUAGACGAAAACACGAUCUUUCCUAGACUAAUCUACUUUAAGGGAGCUUUAAUAAUUUAAGGGUAGAUGUGCUUAUGCGAUGUUGCCAUGUUUCGAUUAUUUUAUCCAGAGUGUUAUCGAUACACCGCAUAAAGAUAAACGAACUACGCCAUUAAUGUAUUCACUAUCUUUGUCAUUUUAUCGUGCUUUACGAGGUUCUGGCGUGGUUAGUUUCACCCACGUCAUGCUUUCGACGAGGAGGGAAUAGAAUUACGAUAUUGCGUACUAUCCUUGGAAACUGCUCUAUUACUUGUUGGGCUUCUUCGAGGCAUGCCUGUCUUCGCUCUGACGAAGGCUGAGCGGCAAAAUAUAGCUUAAUAUCUUCAAUCGCGAAAUAUACGUUUGCCCUUAUAAACCAAAUCACGAUUGAAGCAUAGCAUGAACGGUAUAAUUAAAUAAUAAUAAAUUUAAUAAUUUUAUAAUUAUCAUACCCUGUUCGCGAGCUGUUCCGCUCAACCUCUUCCAGAAAUACAUUUUUCUCCCAUUUUUCAUCUUCAUAGAGUAUUAAAUAUGGUCUCAGCUUCAAAUGCAUAUCAAUCUUUUUUUGUGUAUUAAUAUAAUUUACAUAAUCAUGAUAAGCAAUAUUUACAUACGUCAAUCUUGUUGCUUUUUCCUUCGCUCUCCUUUAAGAUGCUAGCAAACUUGUGAACCGACGAAGUUUUAAGAACAUUAUUUCGGUGUUAUUAAGCGUGCCAAAACUUUCGCGAGCAUGCGGUAGUACCUUGAAAGCAUUACGCUAUUGGGACACCUCAUGGAUAUCGCGUGCAGCUUCGCGGGGAUUACGUAACAUCACAAUAUAUACGGCGAUGCGAUUCGACCUUCGGCAGACUAUCCUCUUUCGGCGAGCUACUUUUCCGGUAAAAACUUCUUUCAUUGGGCCAAAAAAUUUUCUGCCGCGAUCAGUUAAUAUGGAGAUCGUAAAGAUAAUUCCCACGUAUUACGCUGCUGUGAUAUUAAACCUCUAAAUCAGCGGUUUUUACCUUUUUUCGAACCUGUGGCACACUUUCGCACCGUUCGUAUUCCGGCGACACGUCGGGGAAUGUAAAUGACGUACAGGGCGGGGAAUCCGCAACACAGUAAUACUUGAAUAUCUUCCAGAAUAAAUUUGAAUAUACUUGAGCACCUAUUCCACGCGCAAACAUACGAAAAAGCAGCAAUAAGAAAGGGAGCCCGGUUUCAAUGGGAAAUGUAACAGCGGAGGGAUCAUCUGUUUUAAAUUUAACUUGCGUUAUUAUUUCCAUGCGCACAUCCACUGAAAUUAUAACAUGCACGGUACAUUUUCUGCUUGGCGAAGAACAACGUGCCUAUUUGAUACUCGAGCUUGCACUUGUAGCUUCUACUAUACUGUAACACACACAAUACAGUAUGCAGAAUUUAUAAAUAACGAAAAUGUUUUUUCUGAUAACAGAAAUUUCGUCCCUUUUCUUUUACAUUUCUUUUUAUAUUUUCACUAAUUUUAUAUCUCUAUAUUUCUGUUACGAAAGCAAUGUGAGGUUUUAUAAAUAACAAGAGACACUGGUAAUGUUAAGUUCAAUUCCUCGCUCUCUUAUACGGCCCUUUUUAUAUUUCAGUGCGUCUCGACCCUUAUGCGAUGUUCGCAUGUAACGCGGCUGUGCCGCGCGCGGUCGGUUAAUUUCUCUGGAGGCGCACAAAACUUGACCGUGCCCGAAAGCGGCCAUUCUUGCGGGCCCACGUAAGUGUGGGGGCGAUAAACGGCCUUAAAGUAGUACCUGGGGAUGCCAGGGACGAGGGAGAGAGGGGGUUAUAGGGGAGUCAUCGCAAAGGGGGUCAAUGCUCCACGUUGGCGGUCGGAUCCACCCCUAGAUACGCGCAAAUGACGUCGUUGAUGGAUCUGGUCUAUGGUGCUGGGCAUGAAGAAGGGGGUGUAAGGAAGCGGAGAGGCGGGGGUGAUUGAUGAGACUACGGCCUACCGAAGCACUCUACCUAACUUAAUCGCGCGUCUCACGCUGACCUCGAUAUCGCUGAAAACAUCCCCUCGCGCGUCCCCGUUCCCUUCGGCUAUCGCUCGUUUCUUCCACCGUCGCGUUUCCAUUUUCUCUUGCCUUUUGCCGAGAUACCCCCGAGAUAUUCUUUCUUCUUCCCGGUAGAUUUAUAACUCCCCUUUUUACGCGGCCGGAAGCGCGCAAACGUGUGCGUGCUAUGUGAACUACGCGCCGGUGCAGCGCUGUGCAUAUAGUUGCGCUAAGAUCGCAUGGUGUCUCCUUGAUUAAUCAGGAGACACCAGUCAAAUUUCACCACGGCAUGAUGGUGAAAUAACUUCGUUGCAGUUUAGUGAGAUAGUUUGUUAAAUAGUAUAUCUGCAAGGAAUUUGAAAUUCUUAUCAUGCAAUUCUUUUUCGCGCAAGAACGUUGCGAGAAGUACGUGUAUCUUAAUUCGAAGAAGAAGAAGAAGAAGAAGAAGAAGAAGAAGAGCUGUAUGUGUUAACAUAAAAAUUAGCAUAGAAAGCCGUGAAUAUAUUUAGAGAAUAUUUAGAAUGCAAAUAAAUCAUGACUGUUUGCGCAGGGUGUGCGGAGCGCAACGGAGAUUUCAAUUUUAAUUUUGAUGACUCAUGUAUGUUAGUUGAUGAUAAAGGAGUGCGAUCGUGCGCGAAGCUCCCUGCUCACGUUGUAAUUUAAGGGAACGUUGCGAGCGUAAUUUGAUAAAAGCGCAUUAAAACUUAAAUCGGCUGCGAGAUUAGAACUCGCCGGGGUCGAGACGAGAGUGAGCGUGAACCAGUGGACGAAAAAGGAACGUUGGGAAAGGCAAUCGGCGAGAAAACGAUAGAUUAUUGACGGCGGAAGAAAAUACAAUUAAAGGUGCCGGAUGUAAUUCGAGGCGAUGACAGUAAAAAGGAAAGGAGAAAAUAUUCGCUCACGCGUUAACGAAGAGUUUAACCCUAAAGAGUAGAGAGGAAAGAAUAAACGGGGAAUAAGCACGAAAGCAACCACGAAGCGAGGUCGAAACACGAUAUGAGAAACGGGAGCGGGAUAGAAUGAAGGAUAGGAUUCGCUCGAGAUAGUAAAAAAGAAAUCUUAAUUGCUCCUCGAUUGGAUGGAACACUUCGAUUCUCGUUCGCACGUCGACAAAAUUAGAUACCAUCAUCAAAUUGACGAAGCAAGAAUCUUAAAAAUUGUGACGAAAUGUUUUAAUUUGUCUGUCUUUAUUCUAAUUUCUGCGUAGUUUUUUUUCGAAUCUACUAUUGUACCAAUAAACCAUAAUAGUUAAUGCAUUGCAACAUUACUAGUCCUAUUUUCUCAACUUUCUAUGUCUUUCCAAAUUUCUGUUUUCUUUUACGAGAAAAAUUUCAAAAGUUUUACUAUUUUGUAAAACUACGAUUCUAUAAUUCGGUCUGAUUUGCAUUUUAAAGUUACCUUUCACAUUUAGUGAACUGUUGCUAAAGUCAUGUACGGACUAUACUUUUGCGAGUCGAACGUACCAAUACUGAUUUAGUUUAUGGCAGAAGUGGCAAAGAUCGAUCCCGCCGGCCAUUCGCGAUCACGGAGUCUUCGGGAAAAAGGCUAUUUGCAGAUGCGCAGUAUUGAGGGCGCUGCUUAUUAAUUUCCCUAAUGAAUCCUCCGUGCUAGAGCUCCGAGGUAAAGCCGCCCUUUCACGUCUGUGCAAUCGAACGAUUAAGUGUCAAUUAAUCGGGCACAGCUUUCGCUUCGGCGUUCGCCGAUCAUCCAGUCUCCUUUGCCCUCCCAUUGCCGUCUCCAUAGAACACACAUUGAUUCGACACAUAACGAAAUGCGUAACCGCAUUACGCGCAGUCUGUACAAACAGCUAAAUGCUGAUGCAAUCGUAUUCAAUCAAAUGACGCAUUAGUCCUAAUGUAUGCAAACUCAGAUAUGUAAAAUUAUUAAAUCGUAUAAAUGAAAUCGCAAUACAAACAUUUGUAGAUAUAUUGAAUCUUAUAAAUAUUCAUUAUGCUAGAUUUUGUUGUAAUCUGAGAGUACUUUUAACAAGUUCGAAUUCUUAAUUCUCGAUUUCUUAGUUAUAUAGGAUAUUAUAAUAUCCUGGUGACACAUAGAGAUAUGUCGUAAACAACCAAGAAGAAUUAUAACUUUGCGCUGUACCAGUUUGCGAAUCGCGCGGGCGCGAAUACCUUUCUGCAGCUGCGGUUUAAUAGAACCGCGGAAAUAAAUAUUGCGGUCUUCCCGAGCGGGUCGAGAAACUCUCGAGGGAAUAAGUCGUGCUGUGACUUUCGCCCGGACGUUUGACCCGUUGAUCAUCACGAGUCGAGUAUAAUAAGGGUGUAACGUUGUUAGCGUACGUCGUUGUGACUAGAUACGUUGCCAGCAUUAGUAUGCUCGUAAAUAUGCGAGAAAGAAAUUCUACGUCGCGCAUAGAGCGAAAGUGCAGAAAAUGCAGAAAGCGACGGGCGAUGUUUCGUACGACUUUGACUCGUUCUGCGAUUAACGCGUUCGUUUUACGGCUCCCGUGAGAGUACGUCAUUUAACGACACAACCAUCGCAUGAUAAUCCUGUUACGUAAAACAUCCUAUUUUAUUGCGACAAGGAAGUAAGUUGCGGAAACGCGGAUGGAUGCGACUUACACGCGACGUACGCGACGUUACGACGUAUGCGAAGAACGGGGAAAUCGCAAAUAUCGCGACAAUUUGCAAGCGCAAACUUGACCUUGACGGCACGAAAGCGCAAGGCCAAAGAAAAGGCUUUCGGCACCCUAAAGUGUCUCGCAUCUCGAAUGUGUGUGUGUGUGUCGCUCUUUGCCCAGCGCUUUUAUCCAUUCUCACUUCUCUCCCUCCGACCUUCCACUUCUUUCCCUUUUCCUGCACCCAUCCUUUCACUUUUUUUUAUUCUUUGAUGCGAGUCUUUUAUUCUCCUGGAUAUUUGCGGAGCUUUGUUUUAACGUUGGGUAUAACGGCUUAAAUAUACGCCGCUAACGGAAGAUACAGGAUCCUGAAUAUUGUCAACUGUUUAUAUAUAAUUUGUUCGCGAGCCGAAAAAUACAUUGUUAGUAAUGGAAUAUAACGAUCGUGUUUCCCCCUAAUCAAGUCUUUAAUUACAACGCAACGCACCUUUCGUCGAACAUGAUAUAUUUAAAGGUUGGGAUCAUUAUGGGUUUCUAUCACGCUAAUAGACUGGAUGCCAUUAUUAAUAUUAAUAUUAGAAAAUUAUAAUACAAACAAUUAUAGAUUUUACCCUAACUAUAUUAGAGUUUUGUAUAAAAGAGCGAGAUCGGGAAAUAUUAUACAAAGUUUAUUCUAUGUUUAUAAAUACAUAAUAAAUGCAUAAUAAAAUAAAUGCGUUUAUAACACGUUUAUAACGUGAGUUAUGUCAUUAUUACUAAAGUGAUCAAAUUAAUUUGAUGAUGAUGAUGAUGAUGACUAACAGAGAUUCAUUUUAAUUAACAACGUCAUCUGUUUGUUAUUGUUGAAAAAAUAUCUAAAAUAAAAAGCUCGAUUUACUGUUCUACUAGCAAAUAUAAGUCGAAGGUUCAGUAGUGCUCGUAGAAAUCAUUACUCAUAAGCCUCUUUUUGGCAAAACAAUUUUUAGGACACGUUGUUGCAGGUCACUGCAAUGCGGCUGAGGAUGGCAUUCGGUCAAUAGGCGCAGUGCCAGUUUCAUCCAAAUCUAAAUGAGCUCUUGUUCUAUUUUUCGUGGGAGGUAUAACAUACACAAUUUGCAGAAAAAGAAGACGCCUGCUAAAUAACGGUGCGCAUCGAGUUACGAACUAUUUUAUCCGUUUCGCUAUUUUCAUCGUCUAACAUCAGAUAUUAGAAAAAUAUCAUAAUGCCAUAAGAAUUCCAAAAAUAUUUUUACACAAGAACCCGAUAUAGUUUUGAUAUCUAAUAUUACUAUAUACAAAUGCUUCGUUCGAUUUUGGUCAUUUCAUCAACUGAUCUUCGUUCAUUUCAUCCUUGUAAAAAGAUAAGACUAUAUGUUUCCCACGUGUAGGAAACUUUGCGGAGAGGUAAUGAACGACUAUGAGGAGAUUUGUUACAAUCCUCCCUGCUUUACGAAGGAGCUUAAUUAAAAACAUUUUCGCCGAUCAUGUCACCUUUCGGCGGUUUCUCAGAGAUGGCAGCAUUUCUCUUUUCUGGCUCGUCGAACACCUGGAAGCCACCUGCGCUCGGUCGAUAGUCGGGAACACGCGAAUAGCAAGAACACGGACUCCUAGCAAGAGGCAACCUGAUGAUGCGCCGUCGUGCGACUGCUGAUCUUCCUCUCAGGCACUCUCUGAUAUUUUUUCAGAUCGACAUUCCGUUCCGGCUUGCAUACCGGUGCGAUCAUAGUCGCGCGGUGUAAUUUUACCUCACGGUGUGACACUGCCAAAGAAAUUCAGAAAUCUGGCAAGUUACUGAAAAGAAGAACAUGUUUUCAAAAUGAAGCCCUUUCAAAAUCAUUAUUAAUCUAAAAACGCAAGAAAAACGAUCCAUUUUUAUACUUAAAUUUUCGAGUCGAGUAAUUCCCAAAAGUAGACGAUGAAUA